rnacentral:rRNA from 1 species
GACGAACGCUGGCGGCGUGCUUAACACAUGCAAGUCGAACGGAAAGGCCCUUCGGGGUUCUCGAGUGGCGAACGGGUUAGUAACACGUUGGUGAUCUGCUCUGCACUUUGUGAUAAGCCUGGGAAACUGGGUCUAAUACCGAAUAGGACCACCCGCCUCACUGCGUGUGGUGGCAAGCUUUUUCGGUGUCGUAUGGGCGCGCGUGCUACCAGCUUGUUUGUGGGGUAAUGGCCUACCAAGGCCACGACGGGUAACCGGCCUGAGAGGGUGAACGGCCACACUGGGACUGAGGGACGGCCCAGACUCCAACGGGAGGCAGCAGUGGGGAAUAUUGCACAAUGGGCGCAAGCCUGAUGAAGAGACGCCGCGUGAGGGAAGACGGCCUGCGGGUUAUAAACCUCUUUCAAUAGGGACGAAGCGCAAGUGACGGUACCUAUAGAAGAAGCACCGGCCAACUACGUG